rnacentral:lncRNA from 1 species
GUGGCACUCAGACUCAUGCUGUCUCUGGACUCCCUGAGGGAGGAGCCUAGCAAACAGCCUCCCUCCCGUGUCCCUGCCCUUUCUCAGCCUGCUGUGACACUUCAUCCAGGAAAGCUUCUCCGCCCAUGUCAGCAAAUUGUUUGACACAGGGCAAGGUGCUCUGAGGAUCAGCAAGAGUGAGGCUGGGCCAAGAAGCCCCCAAACUCCAGCCCCUGUCUCCAUGGCCCAGAGACUCAUUCUGUGAGAGUUUCUCUGCAAAGAUGGCUGCCAACAAUUCCUCCCAUCUCUGCAUGCACAUGCCUUCCUCCCUUCAACAGGUGGGGUCUUUUUCCCCGUAUCCUUGAAUCUGGGCUGCCUGACUUGAUUUGACCAAUGGAAUGUGGCAGGAGGGAUGUCUUGAGAUUACUGAGCUCAGACCUGAAGGGACCUUGUAGCUUCCGCAUCAGCUCAGAGAAAAACAAAUUGACGUGUAAAUCAGUCCAAGUCACCCUGCAGGAGGAGCGGCCACGUGGAGAUAGAGGCCAGGAGAGUGAAAACUGAGGCUCCAGCCAACAUCAUAGCUGAGACUUCCAAAGGAACAAAUUUAUUUCUUUAAGUGUAAAUGGACUCUCCCACAAAGAUGCUGCUAUGUCAUUUCAUACAUUCUUUUUUAACUUCAUCAAACAAAGUACAGUUCUCUGGCGCUAAUGUCAAUCUCCACAGCUCAUUGGGUUUUUAAAAAUAGUGGAGACACAGAUUUCAUCUCCCAGCCUCAGUGAGGAAGGCAGCACUCUAGCCAGCGAGAGGAACCCUUCGCUUCUCACCCCAGAAAGAGCCAUAAAACACGCUCAGUGCCGGAGCACGCGCCCAUUUGACAAAGACAAUUUGAUUUGUCUGUGGCUUCUAAAAUAUUCAUCCCACUUUGAUGGACUAUCGUUUUAUAAAUAUAGAUUAUCAUUAACCGACACCAGCGGUGCGCUGCUGGUCGACCCAGCGCCACGCCACUGGUUCGGGAUGAAGACGUCUAAUAAAAAAAAUCAUUAUCUCUGUCUGCGAACCUUGAUCUGUAUCGUCUGCCUCAUUUGCAGUGCAAGGGUCAGUAACUCAUGCUAACUGCAUCUGUUUGUGCAUUUCACGGCCUGGCCACCCCUGCUGGGGAGAUUGGCAGAAUGCUUCUCGAGUUCAGAC